CACGCACGGUCUCUGUGAUCCUGUUGGAACAGAAAACAUCCCAUUUGUCAACCAACAGAUGGCUCAGGAAACAAUCAUGCUGAUACUGCAGCAAAGGACGCAGCUAUGAGAACAGACCAUGUCUGCCAAAACACUUUUUCCCACACUAUGCAAAACUUGUACAUUGCCUUAGAUCACGUGAGUAAAGGGGAAUGUUUCAUUUGCUAAAUUUAAAUAUUGGUUCACCAAGGGAUUCUCUUCCUUGCGGACAAGCAUUGUCAAUAGUGUAUGAUCUGUGCAACAAGCAAUGUGGGCAGAGGGCAAAUGAUGCCUCAAGCGGCACACCCACUUCCAAACCAGCCAUUCAAUCAUAUAAUGUUUGAGUGACAUUGGCACACCUUUUGCAAAUUAAGUCAUCACUCAGGUGGGACAUUAAAGAACGUCUAAAUUAAGUGUUGUGAGCAGACAGGACUGUCUUGGGUAAAAGCACUCCCCAUUGUGUUAAUGUAUAUGAGACUGAGAAAAAGAACAAAGUCUAACUUGAGUCCAUUUGAAAUUUGAUUUGGCAGGCUAGCUUCCAUUGGAGUAUGACCAGAACCACGACCAUUACCCUCUACAGCUUUGUGUAAAGAUGACAUGCUAAACUACUGUCCAUAGUUGUCUCUUGUUCUCUCUCAGAUAUCUCAGCAGGUCAAGGACACUCUGCCCAAGCCAGCGGAAGGACUAUUGCAUGAUAUCAGGUCUUGCUGAUAACACACAUUGUGGUGAAAGUGGCAGAGAGAGCUACAAGGGUGCACACAAGUCACUGCAGGAAGGUUACAGCGCCACCAUAGGGCUACAGCUCAGUAAAGUGAUUGACCAGCUGCCCCGUGCCUAGGGGGACGUCUGGCUGACUGAGGUGAACAAACAUACAGUGGUGUAUGGGAGCUGAACAAUGCAGCAACAUCACUGUGUGGGAGUGAUCUGAGGUCAGUAUGGGCCAACAGAUGAUAGCGAGGGACUUGAGCUGUUAGGAAACAUACCAUCUGACCACUGCAGAGAAACUACACGACCAACUCGACAAGUGAAACAUGUGCAUGGGCUGUCUGCUUAACACUUUUACACACAGAGGCCUACCACAAUGCCCAUGUGCCUGACAACGAGGGUACCAGUGUGCUGGAAGACUGGUAUUGGCUGUGUGAACCAUCUGACAAGAGCCAAGAGAGAGAACGAAAAGAAAGUGUCCUCACUGAAAGACCAAGCAGAACAAUCAAGUUUGGCAAGAGACAAUUAUGUUCCGAGAGAACACAGGCUGUGGAAUGGAGCGGAGAAGUUCUUCCAUGCUGUGAUGAUGGAAGGCGUCAAGGAGGAACUACGAGGAUUGAAGCUGACUGCACUGCAAGACCGACUUAUUCUGGACCAGCUCACUGCAUCUCCUGGCGGGGGUGCGUGUACUUGUGGGAACUGUAUUCAAAACAUGACUAAUGCAAUUCACAGGUUGACAGCUAGAGAAGUAAAUGCCAAUGAUGACUGAGGAUGGAAUUGGUUUAAGGGUUUAUGGCAGAAAGCAGAAUACAUUGGGUUAAUUGCUGUCUCAGCACUAGCCAUGAUUUUAUUUUUGCUGUGUAUUUGGCCUUGUGUAGUGGAAAUGAUUAGAAGAGCUGUAAAUUCAAACAUGAAAUCUUCAGUAGUUCAUCAGAUGGUAAUGUACAAUGUCUUGUGUGAAAGUAAGUAUAAUGUGAGUGCUUCUAAUGAAAAUAAAGACAAUGAGAUGCUUAAAUCUGACACCUGCAGCAGCUCUACAGAAGAAGAGUAGUAAGUAAGUAGUAAGUAAGCAUUAUUAUUAUUAUUAUUAUUAUUAUUAUUAUUCUAUGCUGUAGAAUAAAUAGGGUCUAAAGCAGGUCACUGUCUGUGUUAGGAAAUGAUGCAACACGAAGGAAAGAUAAGAAAGUUUCUUCUGUUUGAAUAUCACACUAAGAUUUUUACCUAAUCAAAUAUAAGAGUUGUUUGUUUUCUUUAUAGCUUUCUUAUAUGUUAAGAAUGAUUAUGUUCCAUAAAAAACUAUGCAAAUGCUUUUGUUCACCCUUAUGAGAGUGAUGGUGUUUUAAAUCCUAAUAAAUUUACAUGCUUAAUGUAAACAAUAGGGGUAA